rnacentral:rRNA from 1 species
AUUGAACGCUGGCGGCAUGCCUUACACAUGCAAGUCGAACGGCAGCACGGGUGCUUGCACCUGGUGGCGAGUGGCGAACGGGUGAGUAAUACAUCGGAACAUGUCCUGUAGUGGGGGAUAGCCCGGCGAAAGCCGGAUUAAUACCGCAUACGAUCCACGGAUGAAAGCGGGGGCCCUUCGGGCCUCGCGCUAUAGGGUUGGCCGAUGGCUGAUUAGCUAGUUGGUGGGGUAAAGGCCUACCAAGGCGACGAUCAGUAGCUGGUCUGAGAGGACGACCAGCCACACUGGGACUGAGACACGGCCCAGACUCCUACGGGAGGCAGCAGUGGGGAAUUUUGGACAAAGGGCGAAAGCCUGAUCCAGCAAUGCCGCGUGUGUGAAGAAGGCCUUCGGGUUGUAAAGCACUUUUGUCCGGAAAGAAAUCCUUGACUCUAAUACAGUCGGGGGAUGACGGUACCGGAAGAAUAAGCACCGGCUAACUACGUG